GCUACGGGCUGCAGCAGUGGGGAAUAUUGCACAAUGGGGGAAACCCUGAUGCAGCGACGCCGCGUGAGUGAAGAAGUAUCUCGGUACGUAAAGCUCUAUCAGCAGGGAAGAAAAUGACGGUACCUGACUAAGAAGCCCCGGCUAACUACGUGCCAGCAGCCGCGGUAAUACGUAGGGGGCAAGCUUUAUCCGGAUUUACUGGGUGUAAAGGGAGCGUAGACGGCAGAACAAGUCUGGAGUGAAAUCCCGGGGCUUAACCCCGGAACUGCUUUGGAAACGGGGCGGCUGGAGUGCAGGGGGGGUAAGCGGAAUUCCUAGGGUAGCGGUGAAAGGCGUAGAUAUUAGGAGGAACACCGGUGGCGAAGGCGGCUUACUGGACUGUAACUGACGUUGAGGCUCGAAAGCGUGGGGAGCAAACAGGAUUAGAUACCCGUGUAGUC
rnacentral:rRNA from 1 species